GACGAACGCUGGCGGCGUGCUUAACACAUGCAAGUCGAACGGAAAGGCCCUGCUUUUGUGGGGUGCUCGAGUGGCGAACGGGUGAGUCACACGUGAGUAACCUGCCCUUGACUUUGGGUUAACUUCAGGAAACUGGGGCUAAUACCGGAUCGGAGCUCCUGCUGCAUGGUGGGGGUUGGAAAGUUUCGGCGGUUGGGGAUGGACUCGCGGCUUAUCAGCUUGUUGGUGGGGUAGUGGCUUACCAAGGGAUUGACGGGUAGCCGGCCUGCGAGGGUGACCGGCGACAUUGGGACUGAGAGACGGCCCAGAGUCCUACGGGAGGCAGCAGUGGGAAGUAUGGCACAAUGAGCGGAAGCCUGAGGCAGCAACGCCGCGUGCGGGAUGACGGCCUGCGGGGUGUAAACCGCUUUCGCCUGUGACGAAGCGUGAGUGACGGUAAUGGGUAAAGAAGCACCGGCUAACUACGUG
rnacentral:rRNA from 1 species